rnacentral:rRNA from 1 species
CCGGGACGCGGCGGACGGCUCAGGACAACGGUUGCACCCCCCGCGGCGGUCCCUGCUAGCCGGACACCGCUGGCAACCCGGCGCCAAGACGUGCGCGCAAGGGCGGGCGCCCGCGGGCGAACAGCGUGACGCAG